GUGACUCUUCAUAUAUAGUUUCUGGCCAUUCCUGAUCUUUCUUAUAAUUUACUUACAACAUGUAUCAUGAUAUUCUAUAUUGUGUAUAUAGCUCAUCUGUAAAUUCAGGGAAUCUCAUACGUAUCUGUUACUGUUUCCCUCACACUCGUGGGCACUUCAUUGGAAGUUAUAUAUAUUUGAUGUGCAUCCUUUUUCUCAAGAAUUCUUGACACAAGAAAUUUUGUGGAGAUCCUUUUUCCUCUCCUGCAAUUCUUUGUGAAGUUUCUUCGUGAAAAUAUAGCAUAUGUUGUAGAUCUGCCUCGUAUAUGGGUAUAUAUCCAACUCUUCCCUUCACCCUUACUUGUCCUUAAGUUUACACUCUUUUCUUUGGGUUUUAUUGGAUGUUUCAUAGAUCUUAAGUAAUUAUAACUCUGAAUAUAUAUACAUCAAUAUUUACUAUUUCUUCAUUAAUUUGGUACCUUUCGAACCCUAAAUAUAAUGUUAAAAACUUGCUCAAAUCAGUUAGUCACACUAGUAUAAUAUUUUCUA
rnacentral:lncRNA from 1 species